AUUGAACGCUGGCGGAAUGCUUUACACAUGCAAGUCGAACGGCAGCACGGGGGCAGCCCUGGUGGCGAGUGGCGAACGGGUGAGUAAUACAUCGGAACGUGCCCGGUCGUGGGGGAUAACGUAGCGAAAGUUACGCUAAUACCGCAUACGAUCUGAGGAUGAAAGCGGGGGACCUUCGGGCCUCGCGCGAUCGGAGCGGCCGAUGUCAGAUUAGGUAGUUGGUGGGGUAAAGGCCUACCAAGCCGACGAUCUGUAGCUGGUCUGAGAGGACGACCAGCCACACUGGGACUGAGACACGGCCCAGACUCCUACGGGAGGCAGCAGUGGGGAAUUUUGGACAAUGGGCGCAAGCCUGAUCCAGCCAUUCCGCGUGCAGGACGAAGGCCUUCGGGUUGUAAACUGCUUUUGUACGGAACGAAAAGGCUCUGGCUAAUACCUGGGGCUCAUGACGGUACCGUAAGAAUAAGCACCGGCUAGCUACGUG
rnacentral:rRNA from 1 species